UGCUGAAUUUAUAUCCGUAUAACUCACCAAUAAAUUAGUUACAAAAUAACUGUUAAUUAAUAUAUUGUAAUUGAUCCGAAGAAAGUAGGUGAUACAAAAGUUAAAAUUACAUGUUUCUUUAUUUGUUAAAUAACGAUAUCUUUUAGUUGUCCACAUUAGCUAAGUUUAAUUAACUUGGUAAAGUUUAAGCUUGAUUAUAAAAUGUCUUAAUUUGAGAAAGUUUCCAUAAUUUUUUCUGCAAGAAAAUUUAAGAACGUAACUUUUAGAGGUUAUUAUCUAAGUAAUGAGAUUUUUUUCCAACCCUAAAAUAUUCACGAGUUGCAAUAAUAAUUAAGUAGACGAAAAAAAUACUUGGUAUAGCAUGGAAAAAAUCUAAGUGAGAUUCAGAAAUCUAUAAAAAGUUACACGUGUGAAGCAAAUAUUAAUUCAUUAAAAUAGUGCUUGAAAUGAUUAAAUUUUUCCAAUCAACAAGCAGGCAUGUUGAUAGAAAGGAACUACUUCUUCAUAUUACAUUAAAAUAGUAACUACUUCUUCAAUAAACAAACAUUCAUCAACCAACUGGACAUCCAACAACUUAAACAUCAACAAUGAUCCACAUCAACAAAUGUAUAAAGAAAUCAUGAGAAUAAAAGAAGCAAAGCGAUAGUUGGACCUAAAUUUUAUUUCAAUUCGUCGAACUAUUCGAUUGGAGCUUCACUGCUGAAACUCAAACAAGACCCCAAAAUUCAAAGACUUUUCUUCCUCGUUUUUUCUAUCCAAACGUGAACCCCUUUUAUUUUUUUUAGUUUUCUUCCUGUUGAAUUGGAGUGAAUGGAGGUGUAUAUGGUGAACGAUGCUUUGGUGGAGCGAUAACUUUCCCAAUUUAAAAUUGGUCAGGAUGAUGAUUGUGGCGCGAUGAAGAAAAUGAGAGGCGAUUGGGGUUGUUUUCAGUGAUUUUAGAGGUCAAUUAUUUUUAGUGUUGUUUUGAUGAUAGAAUGGAGAGACGUUAAUGAUCGAAUUAUUAGUAGGUAAAAAGGUUCAUGUGAUGUUAAUGGAGGGAGAUCUUAGAAAUGGGUGUUGUUGUGAUUUUUGUUUCGAUUGGUUAAUGGUGGAGAGAACCAUCUAUAUGAAUUGUGAGUAUUUAUAAAAUUGAUAGUGGUGGAUUGAAUUUAGUGUUCAAUGGAGAAUGAGUGGAGAGGGAAAAAUAUGCUGAUGAAAACUCAUGGAGGAGAUGAAUUAUUGGUCUGAAAUUGUGGGAUUCAUGGAAAAUUAUUGGUUAUUCUGAUAAUGUGGUGGUGGAGGAGUGAAGGAGUGAAGGUGAGGGAUUGUGUUGUUGUGUGCUUCCAGUGAAGACGCGAAAGGAUUGUCUGAGUUUAUUUCUUUUCCUCAAAUAUACUAGUGGAAGAUUAGUUUGUUAUCAUUUUCUUUGUCUUCUUGCGAGAGGGAUUGUUAAAUAAUGUGAUGGUACAUGAUAAGAGUAUGAUGAAUGGAAUGAAUUAAUGGUAUUAUAUAGCUCUGAUGUGCUUCCGUGUAUAGUCAUACCAAAAUUUAAUGGACAAGAUAGAAAUAAAAUUAAACGAAAAAUCAAAAAUAUUAUUU
rnacentral:lncRNA from 1 species